CAAUAGCGUAUAUUAAAGUUGUUGCAGUUAAAAAGCUCGUAGUUGGAUUUGUGGUGUAUUUCGGCGGCCCGUCACUAUGUGAUGGAGCUUGCUGAAGUCGCCAUCCUUGGGUGGAUCCUGUGUGGCAUUAAGUUGUCGUGCAGGGGAUGCCCAUCGUUUACUGUGAAAAAAUUAGAGUGUUCAAAGCAGGCUUAUGCCGUUGAAUAUGUUAGCAUGGAAUAAUAAGAUAGGACCUUGGUACUAUUUUGUUGGUUUGCGCACCAAGGUAAUGAUUAAUAGGGACAGUUGGGGGUAUUCGUAUUUCAUUGUCAGAGGUGAAAUUCUUGGAUUUUUGAAAGACGAACUACUGCGAAAGCAUUUACCAAGGAUGUUUUCAUUAA
rnacentral:rRNA from 1 species